rnacentral:rRNA from 1 species
GUGAGUGACCUGCCUUUUAGACUGGAACAACUUACCGAAAGGUGAGCUAAUGCCGGAUGAGUUAUAUAAGUGCAUGUUUAUAUAGGAAAAGUUGGGGAGACCUGACGCUGAAAGAUGGACUCGCGUCCCAUUAGCUAGUUGGUAGGGUAAUGGCCUACCAAGGCGACGAUGGGUAGCCGGCCUGAGAGGGUGGCCGGCCACACUGGGACUGAGACACGGCCCAGACUCCUACGGGAGGCAGCAGUGGGGAAUUUUGCGCAAUGCUCGUAAGAGUGACGCAGCGACGCCGCGUGAAUGACGAAGGCCUUCGGGUCGUAAAGUUCUUUCGACAGGGAAGAAAAUGCCUAUAAGUAACUGUGUAUGUAUUGACGGUACCUGUAUAAGCAGCCCCGGCUAACUCCGUGCCAGCAGCCGCGGUAAUACGGAGGGGGCGAGCGUUGUUCGGAGUGACUGGGCGUAAAGAGCACGUAGGCGGUGUUGUAAGUCAUUAGUCAAAGACUAGAGCUCAACUUUAGUAAGGCUAGUGAUACUAUAAUACUAGAGUAUCAGAGAGGAUUGCAGAAUUCCUGGUGUAGCGGUGAAAUGCGUAGAUAUCAGGAGGAAUACUGUUAGCGAAGGCGGCAAUCUGGCUGGAAACUGACGCUGAGGUGCGAAAGCGUGGGUAGCAAACAGGAUUAGAUACCCUGGUAGUCCACGCUGU